CUCCAUAUGCGUCUGUUUACCUGGCAGAAUCAACAAGCAAAUGUGUGAGUAACUAAGAAACAAACCACAGAAGAGGAAGAAUAGAAAGGAAUAAGAUUAAAUCAAAAGUAGAAGAAGCUACAAACGUAAAUGCAACAAGGAGACUGAAAAAGAAAUGUCAGAGGAAUUUAGCAUUUGCAAAUACCAUUGGGAAGGAGAAAUAAUACCAAGCAUGAGGCCAUCACUGAACCUAGUUUAAAUGCUUGACUCCCUGGACUAAAAUAGAAGUGAGCUACUGAGGAUUCUUACUCUGCAUUCAUCCA